GACGAACGCUGGCGGCGUGCUUAACACAUGCAAGUCGAACGGAAAGGCCCUGCUUUUGUGGGGUGCUCGAGUGGCGAACGGGUGAGUAACACGUGAGUAACCUGCCCUUGACUUUGGGAUAACUUCAGGAAGCUGGGGCUAAUACCGGAUAGGAGCUCCUGCUGCAUGGUGGGGGUUGGAAAGUUUCGGCGGUUGGGGUGGGACUCGCGGCUUAUCAGCUGGUUGGUGGGGUAGUGGCUAACCAAGGCUUGGACGGGUAGCCGGCCUGGGAGGGUGACCGGCCACAUGGGAACUGGGAUACGGCCCAGACUCCUAGGGGAGGAAGCGGUGGGAAAUAUUGAACAAUGGCCGGAGGCCUAAUGCGGGAACGCGGGUGGCGGGAUGACGGCCUUCGGGUUGUAAACCGCUUUCGCCGGGAACGAGGGUUAGGUAAGGUAAAUGGGGAAGAAGGCACGGGCAAACAACUG
rnacentral:rRNA from 1 species